rnacentral:rRNA from 1 species
UAGGAAGGGGGCUAGCGUUGUUCGGAAUUACUGGGCGUAAAGCGCACGUAGGCGGACUGUCAAGUCAGGGGUGAAAUCCCGGGCCUCAACCUCGGAACUGCCUCUGAUACUGUCAGUCUAGAGUCCGGAAGAGGUGGGUGGAAUUCCUAGUGUAGAGGUGAAAUUCGCAGAUAUUAGGAAGAACACCGGUGGCGAAGGCGGCCCACUGGUCCGGAACUGACGCUGAGGUGCGACAGCGUGGGGAGCAAUCAGU